GCUGUAUGCAGGGUUAGGUUCAGUCUGACGGGCUGUAUGCAGGGUUAGGUUCAGUCUGACGGGCUGUAUGCAGGGUUAGGUUCAGUCUGACGGGCUGUAUGCAGGGUUAGGUUCAGUCUGACGGGCUGUAUGCAGGGUUAGGUUCAGUCUGACGGGCUGUAUGCAGGGUUAGGUUCAGUCUGACGGGCUGUAUGCAGGGUUAGGUUCAGUCUGACGGGCUGUAUGCAGGGUUAGGUUCAGUCUGACGGGCUGUAUGCAGGGUUAGGUUCAGUCUAACGGGCGGUAUACAGGGUUAGUUUCAGUCUGACAGGCUGUAUGCAGGGUUAGGUUCAGUCUGACGGGCUGUAUGCAGGGUUAGGUUCAGUCUGACAGGCUGUAUGCAGGGUUAGGUUCAGUGUGAUGGGCGGUAUGCAGGGUUAGGUUCAGUCUGACGGGCGGUAUGCAGGGUUAGGUUCAGUCUAUGCCUCAGUGUUCAGUGAACAUCACAUGGAGCGUUAUAAGCCUAGAUGCAAUUUCCAUGUUGGUUCUCUAAGCCUUCUCACUGACAAUGGCUAAUGAGAUGUUUUUAUUUGCCGGUUUCCGGUUUCAUUAAAGAAAAUCGAUGCGUUGCUGCUGAAACUGACACGACAGUCAAACGGUGGCAGAGAAACAUAAGCCGUGAACCAUUGUGCUGUAUUAAAGCUACUCCAAGUAACUGGACCCCGCUUUCCCAUUCAGGAAAAAAACUAAAUCUCAAAUGUCCGCUAAUUUCGCAAGUUAAGCAUAAUAGACGCUUUCGUUGGGAUUUCAUUUUCAAGUUGCAGUGUGAAUAAAACACAAAAUAUUUACUUACUUAACAGUAUACAGAAAUCAACAACAAAGUCAAUUGCAUGGAUACACCUAUAUAUGGAAAAAUUAAAUUUUUUAAGCACUAUUAGUAUUUGUUGUAUAUAUACACAUUACAACGCUGUGUAAUGUGCCAUUACCUAACCAAAGCUGUGUUAGAAUUAUGUGCAACUAUUCAGUAACAACAAAGGGAAAAGCAGAAGGAUCUCAGUGACUACACAAGGCUUAAGAUAGCAGGUGUCUGUGUCCAUCAAGACAAUCUCCCAGGUGUUCUUGGAACGGCAACUUCCACAGAAAACCACUGCAGGAAAGUACAACUCUGAUCCUAAGCAGAGUAACAAGCAACAAACGUGCUGCAGAGCCAAAAUAAAUCGGAGAAACGUUCAGAACUGGACAACAAAACACCUGUUUCCACUCGAACAAUGCACCAGGAGCUAGUGGUUAAAGUGGCUAAAGUUCAAGUAAAUCUGACCUAGAUUACUGAUCUGACAGUGGUUAGUUGUAAAAGCCCCAUUUUUAGCAUUUGCAUGCACA